rnacentral:lncRNA from 1 species
GGAAUAAAUCAUGGGAUUGAACUUCAUUCAGAUGUGGUGGAGUAUGCCAAGGAAAAACUGGAGAGUUUCAUCAAAAAUAGUGACAGCUUUGAUAAAUUUGAAUUCUGUGAACCCGCAUUUGUGGUGGGUAAUUGCCUUCAGAUAGCUUCUGACAGUCAUCAGUAUGAUCGAAUUUACUGUGGUGCUGGAGUCCAGAAAGACCACGAAAACUACAUGAAGAUCUUACUCAAAGUUGGGGGCAUAUUGGUCAUGCCUAUAGAGGAUCAGUUGACACAGAUUAUGCGGACUGGACAAAACACUUGGG